UACGUAGGGUGCAAGCGUUGUCCGGAAUUAUUGGGCGUAAAGAGCUCGUAGGCGGUCUGUCGCGUCGGCUGUGAAAACCCGGGGCUCAACCCCGGGCCUGCAGUCGAUACGGGCAGACUAGAGUGCGGUAGGGGAGACUGGAAUUCCUGGUGUAGCGGUGAAAUGCGCAGAUAUCAGGAGGAACCCCGGUGGCGAAGGCGGGUCUCUGGGCCGUAACUGACGCUGAGGAGCGAAAGCGUGGGGAGCGAACAGG
rnacentral:rRNA from 1 species